GCCAGGGUGGCGGAACGGCAGACGCAGCCGGCUUAAAACCGGCGGCCCUCGCGGGCGUGCGGGUUCGAGCCCCGCCCCUGGUACCA
rnacentral:tRNA from 1 species